rnacentral:rRNA from 1 species
GUUAACGCGAUAAGUCGACCGCCUGGGGAGUACGGCCGCAAGGUUAAAACUCAAAUGAAUUGACGGGGGCCCGCACAAGCGGUGGAGCAUGUGGUUUAAUUCGAUGCAACGCGAAGAACCUUACCUACUCUUGACAUCCUGCGAAUUUGGUAGAGAUACCUUAGUGCCUUCGGGAACGCAGAGACAGGUGCUGCAUGGCUGUCGUCAGCUCGUGUUGUGAAAUGUUGGGUUAAGUCCCGUAACGAGCGCAACCCUUGUCCUUAUUUGCCAGCGCGUAAUGGCGGGAACUCUAAGGAGACUGCCGGUGACAAACCGGAGGAAGGUGGGGACGACGUCAAGUCAUCAUGGCCCUUACGAGUAGGGCUACACACGUGCUACAAUGGUCGGUACAAAGGGUUGCCAACUCGCGAGAGUGAGCCAAUCCCGAAAAGCCGAUCUCAGUCCGGAUCGGAGUCUGCAACUCGACUCCGUGAAGUCGGAAUCGCUAGUAAUCGUGGAUCAGAAUGCCACGGUGAAUACGUUCCCGGGCCUUGUACACACCGCCCGUCACACCAUGGGAGUGGACUGCACCAGAAGUGGUUAGCCUAACGCAAGAGGGCGAUCACCACGGUGUGGUUCAUGACUGGGGUGAAGUCGUAACAAGGUAGCCGUAGGGGAACCU